AAGCCCGGGGAGAGAUCCUCGUACCACUGGCGAAGGCGUUUUCGAAUCGCCCAUGGGGCGAGAGGGAAUCCGGUUCGUAUCCGGAACCAGACGCGGAACCGCUCCCUAGUGUUCGGGGCUCUUUUGUCUCGUCUGGGUAACCAGAAUGAACUCGAAGAAGCCGCCGGGGGAUCUGGGUAGAGUUCUCUUUACUCUGUGAGCGUUGUACGUCCCUGGAAUCCUCUAGCCGGGCGAUAGGGACGCGAGCGCGAAGAGCACCGCUCGUUGCGGCGGUGUCCGUGAUCCCCACGCGGACCUUGAAAAUUCGAGAGAGGGCCACGCGGAGUCUUCGCGUCGGUUCGUACCGAUAUCCGCAGCAGGUCUCCGAGGUGAGCAGCCUCUAGCCGCAUAGAAUAAUGUAGGUAAGGGAAGUCGGCAAAACCGAUCCGUAACUUCGGGAUAAGGAUUGGCUCUGAGGAGCGUGGCUGCCGGGUUCGGGUCGUCGUAGAAGCGUAGGCGUUUUUGGCGACACCCCGGCCGUCGCCCGUGCGCCCGGUCUUCGGAACGGGAGCCUCGAGGCGGCCGCGGGCCCGUCGCCGUCCGCCGACCGUGGAACCACCGAGCUUCGGUCGCUGGCCGCGUCGCGGCCGGCCGACCGCCUAGGUGUCGGUUCGCCGUCACCGGGCGGUCCGGCCGCCGCGCCGUCGGUCGCGUAGCCGGAUCGACAGCCAAGUAACGGUCAACUCAGAACUGGCACGGACCAGGGGAAUCCGACUGUCUAAU
rnacentral:ncRNA from 1 species